UGCCAGCCGCCGCGGUAAUACGGAGGGUGCAAGCAUUAAUCGGAUUUAUUGGGCGUAAAGGGCGCGUAGGUGGUUUGAUAAGUUGGAUGUGAAAUUCCAGAGCUCAACCCCGAAACUGCCAUUGAUACUGAUAAACUUGAGUUCAGUUGGAGUAGGCGGAAUGUGUAGUGUAGCGGUGAAAUGCUUAGAUAUUACACAGAACACCGAUAGCGAAGGCAGCUUACUAAACUGAUACUGACGCUGAGGCACGAAAGCGUGGGGAGCGAACAGGAUUAGAUA
rnacentral:rRNA from 1 species